rnacentral:pre_miRNA from 1 species
CACUCAGGGAGGGGGUCCCUCAGCCUGGAUUGCAAGAGGGCACUGGCCAGGCUGAGGGACCCCACCAGUGCUCA